rnacentral:rRNA from 1 species
UGGGGAAUAUUGGACAAUGGGGGAAACCCUGAUCCAGCGACGCCGCGUGUGUGAAGAAGGCCUGCGGGUUGUAAAGCACUUUCGGUGGGAACGAAAUAUGCCGGGCUAAUACCCCGGUAGGCUGACGUUACUCAAUGAAGAAGCACCGGCUAACUCUGUGCCAGCAGCCGCGGUAAUACAGAGGGUGCGAGCGUUAAUCGGAAUUACUGGGCGUAAAGGGCUCGUAGGCGGCCAACUAAGUCAGACGUGAAAUCCCUCGGCUUAACCGGGGAACUGCGUCUGAUACUGGAUGGCUUGAGGUUGGGAGAGGGAUGCGGAAUUCCAGGUGUAGCGGUGAAAUGCGUAGAUAUCUGGAGGAACACCGGUGGCGAAGGCGACAUCCUGGACCAAUUCUGACGCUGAGGAGCGAAAGCCAGGGGAGCAAACGGGAUUAGAUACCCAAGUAGUCCCUGAGCGGGCUGGCAAGGCGCAU